GCCAGUUAUAGGCGGAGCCGAAGGGAAACCGAGUCUGAAUAGGGCGCUUUAGUUAUUAUUAAUAGACCCGAAGCGGUAUGAGCUAGACAUGGGCAGGUUGAAGGCAUAGGAAACUAUGCUGGAGGACCGAACGGGUUGGUGCUGCAAAACCUUCCGAUGACCUGUGUUUAGGAGUGAAAAGCUCAUCGAAUACCGUGAUAGCUGGUUCUCUCCGAAAUGCAUUUAGGUGCAGCCUGCAUUUUGAGAUCUUGAAGAGGUAGAGCUCUGGAAAGGCUAGGGGUGUCGAGAGACAUUACCAAACCUUACUAAACUUCGAAUGCUUCAAGGAAUAUUGCAGAGUGGGACUACGGGAGCAAGUUUCGUAGUCAAAAGGAUAACAGUCCAGACUUCUGAUUAAGGUCCCUAAAGUAAUGCUAAGUGGAAAAAGAGGUGUCUUUGUUUAUACAUCCAGGAGGUUUGCCUAGAAGCAGCAAUCCUUUAAAGAAAGCGUAACAGCUCACUGGACUAACGAAGAUGCGCUGAAGAUGUAACGGGGCUAAGCAUUAUACCGAAAUCGAAGACCAGUGUAGAAAUACACUGUGUGGUAGGAGAGUGUUCUUACAGGAUGAAGCUACAUCGUGAGGUGUGGUCGACUAGUAAGAAGUAAAAAUGCUGACAUGAGUAACGCUUAUUGAUGAAAAUUCAAUAUAUCGAAACCCUAAGGAUUCCUACGCAACGUUCAUCGUCGUAGGGUUAGUCGGGACCUAAGGCUUAUCCAGAAAUGGGAGUCGAUGGAUAACUGGUUAAUAUUCCAGUACUUAUAUAAAGAGUGAUGGAGUGACGCAUUGAGAUUUGUGAGAGCUCAUUAAGGAUUUGAGUCGAAAGAGUGAGGUUUUUGUAGCCUUAGGUUACAAAGGUAGUUGCAGGAAAAUCCACAACUAUUGAUACUGAGCUUGAUCGGAAUUUGAUUCCUCGGAAUUAGAAAUUCUCAUCGUUUUGGUGCCGAGAAAAACUUCUAAACUUAAUCUUUAUGUAACCCGUACUCAGAUCAGACACUUGUGGGGUGGUAGAGAAUACUAAGAUAAUCGAGAUAAUUAAUGGGUAAGGAACUUGGCAAAUUAGCGGACGUACUUUCGAAAUAAGUCCUGUCCCGAGCAAUCGGGAUCGCAGCGAAAGAGAUGGGGGGAACUGUUUAUCAAAAACACAGCUCGCUGCUAACUCGUAAGAGGAUGUAUAGCGGGUGAUGCCUGUCCAAUGCCAGAAUGUUAUGCUCUCUUGUGCAAGCUCGAGGGUUAAGCACUGGUGAAUGACGGCCGUAACUAUGACGGUCCUAAGGUAGCGAAAUUCCUUGUCAGGUAAGUUCUGACGCGCAUGAAUGGCAUAAUCAUCCCCAUGCUGUCUUACCCUUAAACUCGGUGAAAUUACAUUCCCGGUAAAAAUGCCGGGUAGUCACAGUUAGACGGAAAGACCCUGUGAAGCUUUACUGUAGAUUGAUAUUGGAUUGUAGCAUGUCUUGCUCAGUAUAGGUGGGAGGCUUUGAUGUUUCAACUUCGGUUGGGGCGGAGCCAAAAGUGAGAUACCACCCAAGAUAUGUAGCAAUUCUAAUCCCUAGGUUGGGAGACAGUUUCAGUUGGACAGUUUACCUGGGGCGGGUGCCUCCUAAAAAGUAGCGGAGGCGUGCAAAGGUUUGCUUACUACGGAUGGAAACCGUGGUGAAUGUGUAUUCGCAUAAGCAAGCUUGACUGUGAGACUGACAGGUCGAACAGAUACGAAAGUAGGCG
rnacentral:rRNA from 1 species